rnacentral:rRNA from 1 species
CCUACGGGGGGCAGCAGUGGGGAAUCUUCCACAAUGGGCGAAAGCCUGAUGGAGCAACGCCGCGUGAGUGAAGAAGGUCUUCGGAUCGUAAAGCUCUGUUGCACGGGACGAAAACCGGGUUUGAGAAUAUUGAACCCGGGUGACGGUACCGAGCGAGGAAGCCACGGCUAACUACGUGCCAGCAGCCGCGGUAAUACGUAGGUGGCGAGCGUUGUCCGGAAUUAUUGGGCGUAAAGGGAGCGCAGGCGGACAUAUAAGUCCAUCUUAAAAGUGCGGGGCUCAACCCCGUGAGGGGAUGGAAACUGUAUGCCUUGAGUGCAGGAGAGGAAAGCGGAAUUCCCAGUGUAGCGGUGAAAUGCGUAGAUAUUGGGAGGAACACCAGUGGCGAAGGCGGCUUUCUGGACUGCAACU